AUUGAACGCUGGCGGCAUGCCUUACACAUGCAAGUCGAACGGUAACAGGUCUUCGGAUGCUGACGAGUGGCGAACGGGUGCGUAAUACAUCGGAACGUGCCCAGACGUGGGGGAUAACGAGGCGAAAGCUUUGCUAAUACCGCAUACGAUCUAAGGAUGAAAGCAGGGGACCGCAAGGCCUUGCGCGUUUGGAGCGGCCGAUGGCAGAUUAGGUAGUUGGUGGGAUAAAAGCUUACCAAGCCGACGAUCUGUAGCUGGUCUGAGAGGACGACCAGCCACACUGGGACUGAGACACGGCCCAGACUCCUACGGGAGGCAGCAGUGGGGAAUUUUGGACAAAGGGCGAAAGCCUGAUCCAGCAAUGCCGCGUGCAGGAUGAAGGCCUUCGGGUUGUAAACUGCUUUUGUACGGAACGAAAAGGCUCUGGCUAAUACCUGGGGCACAUGACGGUACCGUAAGAAUAAGCACCGGCUAACUACGUG
rnacentral:rRNA from 1 species